rnacentral:rRNA from 1 species
CGUAUGCAACCUACCUUAUACAGGGGAAUAGCCCGAAGAAAUUCGGAUUAAUGCUCCAUGGUUUAUCGAUAUGGCAUCGUAUUGAUAAUAAAGAUUUAUCGGUAUAAGAUGGGCAUGCGUAUCAUUAGCUAGUUGGUGUGGUAACGGCAUACCAAGGCAACGAUGAUUAGGGGUCCUGAGAGGGAGAUCCCCCACACUGGUACUGAGACACGGACCAGACUCCUACGGGAGGCAGCAGUGAGGAAUAUUGGUCAAUGGAGGCAACUCUGAACCAGCCAUGCCGCGUGCAGGAUGACGGUCCUAUGGAUUGUAAACUGCUUUUGUACAGGAAGAAACCUCCCUACGAGUAGGGACUUGACGGUACUGUAAGAAUAAGGAUCGGCUAACUCCGUGCCAGCAGCCGCGGUAAUACGGAGGAUCCGAGCGUUAUCCGGAAUUAUUGGGUUUAAAGGGUUCGUAGGCGGUCAGAUAAGUCAGUGGUGAAAUUUCCUAGCUUAACUAGGACACGGCCAUUGAUACUGUUUGACUUGAAUAGUAUGGAAGUAACUAGAAUAUGUAG